GUUUUUCGGAAAAGUUGUAUAUGAAAAUUGUAAAGCAUUUUAAUACCUAUAAUAUGAUGUCAAAAUGAAGACGAUGUGACAACGGGUUCAGCUGCGCUGGCUUGAGCUUGCUUCCCGAUGGGUUUAUCACAAAAAUUGUACAUGAAAGUUAUAAAGAAUUGCAAUACUUACAAUUUGAUGUAAGUUCGACUAUCCUACCACCAUAAAUUCACUUGCUAGAAACCAAAAACACACAAAAAUCAGUAAGAAACCUACUAAAAUUACAUUUUGUGGCUUCUCUGUAGGUUAAUCUUGCAAUUUAUACAUUAUAACAAUAUAGACUAUCAAUUCCCACAGUCAAAGACAAGAAUAAACCGUAAAGUAAUGCACAUGUUGUGCAAACUCAUCUGCAUGCUAUUAAAUUUGGGAAUAUUACAUGCACACUAUCUGAAAUAUAAUUUAUUAGUUAUUAAUUUUACAUCCUUAGCAUCAUCAAUAAAUAAAAAUGUUUAAUUAAA